GGGGUUACUUCCGUCCUUUCGAGGUCAAGGUCGUGUUGUGUGAAUUUUCUUCGAGAAUUCCUUCCUUUUGAUUGCUAAUUACUCCAUAUUAUGAUGUAUCGGUGACAAAUAACUGUCGACUACCGAUUAGUCCAAUACUGGUUAUCCAAUCUGAAACAACGCCAUCAUGUCAGCCACACGUCCAUUACUGUUAUCAGCUCAACUAUCCAGGAGUAUGCCUGCUAAAGUGAAUGCUCUAAAAUCUUUCAGCCAGUCGUCAGUUCAUGAACCACCCUGCAAGUCUAUGUUCAACAAAACCCUGAUCUUCUUAUCCAUCGCCGGCAUUGGGAUGUCCGCUUUCAGCACACGGCAAUUAACACUGUGUGAUAAAACAAAGACUGCAGCAAUAAAACCAACCAAAAGUUGAUGUUGCUUACAGGAACUUAGUAAAACAGAACAAAACUCUGAUUUUCGAAUGCAUACAUCUUAACCCCUGGGCACUAAAGGCAAUUUUGAACUCUUGACAGGACUAGUAUUGUUUUGUUUUUGGUCAAGUUGCCUUUAUUUUCUUUGGGUUGAGAUGGCACUGAUAUGAUGAAGCCGAAGAAAAAGUGUUCAGAGACAUUGCUUGAGUGCGUCAAUGAUAUGUAGUACACCAAAAGUGUCCCAGGUGGCAGCACUGUAUGGGACAACUGUCUGAAAAUGGCAACACUGGAUAUUCCAACACAUCUUAUGCCUGUAGAUAAGCUGUGCAGUAUUUCUAUAAAAUUGUAGGGUGUAUCUUUGACCAUUAUUUCUUGAUUCCUAAUGCGAGUUGCAGUCGGUUUAGUAUCAAAGCAUUUGAUCAGAUUUGAGAAAUAUUUUUCAACCACUUCAUGAAGUUAUCAUUAAAACAAAUUCAGUAACUUGCAAAGGAAAGUAUGAAUUAAAAUUCUGGGUUUGAUGAUGGUUAAGUAUUUUGGAUAACUGGUUUAUUCAAUCAAGCGGGCAAUUGCGUGCGAAAUUGAAAAAUUCCUGUAAAGUUUAUUUCUUUUUUGUGAAUAAAAAAUACGUUAGUUAUAUUAUCGUCAUCAA